GUGCGUGGCCAGCAGAUCCGGGGUGGGAAGUUGGUGGGGGGGAGAAAGGAGCAAGAACAAAAGGAUCCGAGGCUGCGCUCCGUCCCUGGAUCUUUCCCUCUCCUCCGCGGAGCACAAGGAAAUAAACAUCUGCAUAAUGCCCAUUGCAUCAACUCCAUUCUGAAGAUUCCUUGGACUGGACAUAGGACAGCACAGGCAUUCCACUUCGAUCUGCAGAAGUGACAUUGAGUACGGGCAUCACAAGAAACUCGUCCUGCAUUUGUAAGAAAUUGAUCUUGUAGUGUGGCAGCACCCACACUUCAGAACUCCCUGUCUAUUGAUAUCAG